UAGGGAAUCUUCGGCAAUGGACGAAAGUCUGACCGAGCAACGCCGCGUGAGUGAAGAAGGUUUUCGGAUCGUAAAACUCUGUUGUUAGAGAAGAACAAGGACGUUAGUAACUGAACGUCCCCUGACGGUAUCUAACCAGAAAGCCACGGCUAACUACGUGCCAGCAGCCGCGGUAAUACGUAGGUGGCAAGCGUUGUCCGGAUUUAUUGGGCGUAAAGCGAGCGCAGGCGGUUUCUUAUGUCUGAUGUGAAAGCCCCCGGCUCAACCGGGGAGGGUCAUUGGAAACUGGGAGACUUGAGUGCAGAAGAGGAGAGUGGAAUUCCAUGUGUAGCGGUGAAAUGCGUAGAUAUAUGGAGGAACACCAGUGGCGAAGGCGGCUCUCUGGUCUGUAACUGACGCUGAGGCGCGAAAGCGUGGGGAGCAAACAGG
rnacentral:rRNA from 1 species